AUCCAGAUGAUGAGUCCCAAAUAGGACGAAAUGCGCGUUAUCCUGGUGGAU
rnacentral:hammerhead_ribozyme from 1 species